CUGUAUGUGUGUAUGUGUGAGCGUGUGUGUCUGCACACCUUCAAGGAAAGUAUUCACCAUAGAGAGAAGAGUAGAAGAGAUCUAAACCGACAGAAAGGCAACUCUGAAAGCAGAAGACAUCUGACCUGUCUACACCUCAAAGCGCCAUCUUCCGCCUCGCCUUUUGUUGGCUUCGAACAGCCUUUAUCAUCAUGGGAGGAGGUGGAAGUGAGGAGUGGGAUGAAAAGCACACGGACACGAGGCAAAGCCAGCCCCAGAAACAGCAGGACACAACGAGCACAGACUCGGAGAGCGGCUGCAGGAGGUGCUGCAUGAAAACAAGGAACUGUCUGAUGAGCCCGGAGUGCGGCAGGGCUCUUCAGAUCUCCAGCAUCAUCGCCUGGUGCGGCAUGUGCAUCAACAUGUGGACGUAAUCUGACCUUGGGCAUCAGGAUGAUCUUCUCUACGACGAAGCAGACUUCAUUUUCAGCAUAUUUUCCUCCUUGCAAGAGAGUCACGCACCUUAUCGCUUUGCUGUAAUCGGAGAUGAUGAAUAUUCAUCUUAUAUACAUUACCAUAUCAAGACGCCUGUAAUUUCAUAUUUAUAAUCAUUAUUUAUGCACUAUAGACUUCCCUUAGCAUCACUCAUUCCCAAUGUGAUUUUUUUUUCUGUUUAUGUGAAAAAAGGUCAACCAAAAUAUAAGUAUAUAUUUUUUCAAGAUAACUGAUCAUCAGUAUGACUGUAAUCUUCAUUCUCCCUGCAAAACAUUUAGUUACCUUUAGUUGAGAAACAGAUCACUUGUUCUUGCAUUAAGUCAAGCCUGUGGAUUUGUAAUACAGGUAUAGUCUUUGAGAUUUUCUUUUUUUUUUUUUUUGUGAGAAUCUGGUAGCAGUGUCUUGCUACCAAAUGUAGCACUGCAAUAUUAGUAUCAUGAUAAUUAAGAAUAAAUGACAGAAUGUAAA